rnacentral:rRNA from 1 species
UAAUCGAUAUUCCACGUUAAAUUUUACUAAAUAAUUUGUAUAUCGUUGUCGUAAGAAUAAAUUUUCUAAUUUUUUUAUUAAAAUUAAUGUCAAAUCAAGGUGCAGUUUAUAAUUUAGAAGAAAUGGGUUACAAUAAAUUUAUUUAGGAGUAAUAUAAAGGUGGAUUUAAAAGUAAAUUAA